UAGGGAAUCUUCCACAAUGGACGCAAGUCUGAUGGAGCAACGCCGCGUGAGUGAAGAAGGUUUUCGGAUCGUAAAGCUCUGCUGUUGGUGAAGAAGGAUAGAGGUAGUAACUGGCCUUUAUUUGACGGUAAUCAACCAGAAAGUCACGGCUAACUACGUGCCAGCAGCCGCGGUAAUACGUAGGUGGCAAGCGUUGUCCGGAUUUAUUGGGCGUAAAGCGAGCGCAGGCGGAAGAAUAAGUCUGAUGUGAAAGCCCUCGGCUUAACCGAGGAACUGCAUCGGAAACUGUUUUUCUUGAGUGCAGAAGAGGAGAGUGGAACUCCAUGUGUAGCGGUGGAAUGCGUAGAUAUAUGGAAGAACACCAGUGGCGAAGGCGACUCUCUGGUCUGCAACUGACGCUGAGGCUCGAAAGCAUGGGUAGCGAACAGG
rnacentral:rRNA from 1 species